rnacentral:pre_miRNA from 1 species
AGAGAAAUAGCUGGGUCAAAUGGUGGUUUCAUUCCCAGUUUUCCAAGGAAUCUCCAUAUGCUUUCCAAAUUGGCUGCACCAAUUUGCAGUCCCACCAGUAGU